GAUGAAGAACGCAGCGAAAUGCGAUAAGUAAUGUGAAUUGCAGAAUUCAGUGAAUCAUCGAAUCUUUGAACGCACAUUGCGCCCCCUGGUAUUCCGGGGGGCAUGCCUGUCCGAGCGUCAUUACAACCCUCAAGCUCAGCUUGGUGUUGGGCCCCGCCGCCCCGGCGGGCCCUAAAGUCAGUGGCGGUGCCGUCCGGCUCCGAGCGUAGUAAUUCUUCUCGCUCUGGAGGUCCGGUCGUGUGCUCGCCAGCAACCCCCAAUUUUCUUCAGGUUGACCUCGGAUCAGGUAGGGAUACCCGCUGAACUUAAGCAUAUCAAUAAGCGGAGGA
rnacentral:misc_RNA from 1 species